UACGUAGGGUGCGAGCGUUAAUCGGAAUUACUGGGCGUAAAGGGUGCGCAGGCGGCUUCGCAAGUCAGACGUGAAAUCCCUCAGCUUAACUGGGGAACUGCGUCUGAGACUGGCAAGCUUGAGUGCAGGAGAGGAACGCGGAAUUCCAGGUGUAGCGGUGAAAUGCGUAGAUAUCUGGAGGAACACCGGUGGCGAAGGCGGCGUUCUGGACUGCAACUGACACUGAGGAACGAAAGCCAGGGGAGCAAACGGG
rnacentral:rRNA from 1 species